rnacentral:piRNA from 1 species
CAUUGUGAAGAUGGAAGAACGCCCA